GGAGGAUCCAAGCGUUAUCCGGAAUCAUUGGGUUUAAAGGGUCCGUAGGCGGCUUUAUAAGUCAGUGGUGAAAUCUCCCCGCUCAACGGGGAAACGGCCAUUGAUACUGUAAGGCUUGAAUUAUUAGGAAGUAACUAGAAUAUGUAGUGUAGCGGUGAAAUGCUUAGAGAUUACAUGGAAUACCAAUUGCGAAGGCAGGUUACUACUAAUGGAUUGACGCUGAUGGACGAAAGCGUGGGUAGCGAACAGGAUUAGAUACCCUGGUAGUCCACGCCGUAAACGAUGGAUACUAGCUGUUGGGUGCAAACUCAGUGGCUAAGCGAAAGUGAUAAGUAUCCCACCUGGGGAGUACGUUCGCAAGAAUG
rnacentral:rRNA from 1 species